AGGUAUAUAUUCGGUCCUGCCAUCUACUAGACUCAUACCACAACUCAAGCACUCUCAGACUCGCUGACCUUCUUCGAGUUCAAACGAUCAGUUUGCAGACUUACCUGCAGAAUACAUCAUGUUGGUUAUCGUCUUUCUUGGUCUCCUGGCUGUUGCGCUCAGCUCUCCUGACAACUACGCUGCUCGAAUGUUUGAAUAUUUGGACGACAACAAGGAUGGGGUUGUUGGGUUCAGUGAAUG